rnacentral:rRNA from 1 species
AACGAACGCUGGCGGCAGGCUUAACACAUGCAAGUCGAACGAAGUCUUCGGACUUAGUGGCGGACGGGUGAGUAACACGUGGGAACGUGCCUUUAGGUUCGGAAUAACUCAGGGAAACUAGUGCUAAUACCGAAUGUGCCCUUCGGGGGAAAGAUUUAUCGCCUUUAGAGCGGCCCGCGUCUGAUCAGCUAGUUGGUGAGGUAAAGGCUCACCAAGGCGACGAUCAGUAGCUGGUCUGAGAGGAUGAUCAGCCACAUUGGGACUGAGACACGGCCCAAACUCCUACGGGAGGCAGCAGUGGGGAAUCUUGCGCAAUGGGCGAAAGCCUGACGCAGCCAUGCCGCGUGAAUGAUGAAGGUCUUAGGAUUGUAAAAUUCUUUCACCGGGGACGAUAAUGACGGUACCCGGAGAAGAAGCCCCGGCUAACUUCGUGCCAGCCGCCGCGGUAAGAC